GUGGAUUAGAUACCCGGGUAGUCCACGCCGUAAACGAUGUUCACUAGGUGUUGGGGGUAUUGACCCCCUCAGUGCCGCAGCUAACGCAUUAAGUGAACCGCCUGGGGAGUACGGUCGCAAGACUAAAACUCAAAGGAAUUGACGGGGGCCCGCACAAGCGGUGGAGCAUGUGGUUUAAUGCGAUGCAACGCGAAGAACCUUACCUGGGCUUGAUAUCCCGGGAAUUUCCUGGAAACAGGAAAGUGCCCUUCGGGGAACCCGGUGACAGGUGCUGCACGGCUGUCGCUAACU
rnacentral:rRNA from 1 species